rnacentral:tRNA from 1 species
GGGUCGUUAGCUCAGUCGGUAGAGCAGCGGACUUUUAAUCCGUUGGUCGCCAGUUCGAAUCUGGCACGGCCUA